rnacentral:misc_RNA from 1 species
GUCGCUUCGUCGGUUCAUUCAAUUUUCGCACUUCACUUCUAUUUAUUUUCCGAAUCUGCUGCUGCUGCUGCUGCUUACAGCUCGACCUAUUCUAAAGAUAAUGCAACAGGAACAGCAGUGAAUAAUCACUGAUAACCCGCUGGCCUGACUGCCAGUGUUCCUCCCUGCUCUGUGUGUGCGUGUAACGGAAUUUAAGGAUACGACCUACGAUUUCGAAGAGCAGUUAUAGCAUCCCCUAUAAUAUAUGUACGGACUGUUGAAUUGAAUUAGUCAGAAGCAACAAUUACAAACAAAAUCCAGUCCUCGUACCACCGUUAUCCUUAUUUGGCGUGCGUGUGUGUGUGUGUGUGUGUGCGUGUGUGCGGUUCUCGUGUACGGGUGUGUGUUCGAAACGAAACUAAGGCGAGGAGGGAAGACAACAAAACGGUUGGUUUGUGCCAUUCAACAACCUCUUUGUGGCAGUAUCGAUUUUCCGUUACAUCGUUAUACACACACAUUUGACCGACUUCGCAGCCAGCUAUUACGCACACGCCACCCCACCCCACCCCACACGCCCCAAGCCCCUCCUUAAGUUUAGCGCGGUGCGAGCAGGCGGGUUGAUGCGCGGCAGCAGCAAGCAGAGCCAGAGGCAGAGCUAAUCUGUUGGCUUAGUGUGAGCGAAUUUGUUGCAUCUUGGCGGCACUGGAGGCAUGUUUAUUUGGCACUUGUCAGUCGCCGGACGGACAAACCAUUUAGGAAUACAGCAAUAACCACUGUAAAUAGCAUCAUCAGCAUCCACUGCAGGCACAUCAUCCACAACUUCCACAACAUUUACAACAUCCACGGCACCUUGGUAAUUUUCCGUGAGAAAGCUCAACAUCCAAGAUCCACAUCGACAUCGGGAUCCACCAGUAGAUGUUCACCAUGAUCCAGUUGAAGCAACUACAGCUCCCCUUCAGCCACGCAGCGUUAUUACUGAUGCUGGCGGCGGUGGUGGGCGUGGGCCAGGCGGGGUCCCAGAACACACCGCAACAGCAGGUGUGUCCGGAGCAGGGCGACAUCUCGCCCUGCAUCUGUACGGUGAAGAAGAACGGCCUGGACAUACUCUGCGAGACAACGGACUUGGCGCACAUCACCAAAUCGAUGGGCACACUCAAGGGCAAAAGUCCCAUAAUUUUCUACUUGAAGUUGCGCCACAACAACCUGCCCAAGCUGCAGGGAUUCGUUUUCCUGGCCCUGGACAUUCGCCACCUGACCAUACACAACAGCAGUCUGGCGACCAUCGAGGAGAAUGCUCUCAGUUCCUUGGGCACUGGACUCACACAGCUGGACGUAUCGCUGAACCAAAUGAAAACCGUGCCUUCGCAGGCACUGCAGCAUCUGUUCCACCUGUUGAUCUUGAACCUGAACCACAACAAAAUCACCGUGAUCCACAACAACGCCUUCGAGGGACUAGGAACACUGGAGAUUCUUACGCUCUAUGAGAACAGGAUCACCCAGAUAGACCCCGAGGCGUUCCGCGGACUGGAAGGAAAAUUGAAGCGUUUGAAUCUGGGUGGUAAUGAUUUAAGCAGAGUUCCCCAAAAGUCCCUGUCUAUAUUGGACACGCUGAAGAAGCUGGAAAUACAGGAGAACAAGAUCCGCUCCAUCAUUGAGGGUGACUUUGAGGGCUUGGUCAACCUCGAUUCCUUGAUUCUGGCCCACAACAUGAUCACCACAGUGCCUGCAAAUGUCUUCAUACACCUUACCCAGCUAAAUUCUCUGGAAUUGGAGGGCAACAAGAUCAGCGUUAUCGAUAAGGAUGCGUUUAAGGGCUUGGAGGAGAACCUGCAGUAUCUGCGCCUAGGAGACAACCAGAUCCAUGCCAUUCCCAGCGAGGCCCUGCGCCCACUGCACCGUCUUCGCCAUUUGGAUUUGCGGAACAACAACAUUAAUGUCCUGGCCGAUGACGCCUUCACCGGAUUUGGCGACUCGCUCACGUUCCUCAACCUCCAGAAGAAUGACAUUAAGGUGCUGCCAAGUGUGCUCUUUGAGAACCUAAACUCGCUGGAGACUCUGAAUCUGCAGAACAACAAGCUGCAGCGCAUUCCCCAGGACAUCAUGGAACCGGUCAUUGAUACCCUACGCAUCAUCGAUAUCACGGAUAAUCCGCUGAACUGCUCCUGCGAAUUGACCUGGUUCCCCAAGCUGCUCGAGGACCUGAAGAACAAGGAUGACGAAAUGUCGCAGAAGAAGAAGCCGCUGUGCCACAUGUCGCUGGACAACCGCGAGUACUUUGUGCAGGCCAUGCCCACCGAAAAGAUGCACUGCGCCGGCCUCAAUGUGAGUCCCUCACCCACGAGCGGCGGUCUGAUGCGGAUACUGCAAGUGAACCUUCUGGCCCAAAUUGCCAUGUGUAGCGUGGCGUUUCUGAUUAGCGUUUAAUCGCUUCCGAUCUGAUCCGAUCUGAAGCGGGUCCCCAGUCUAGUUAGGUCCGGAGACCACUUUUCCAUGUGGAUUAUAGUGAAUCCGUGAAUUAUGCAACUCUGCCAAUUAUUAGACCCAAAAAGCACGCUUUUGAACCGUACCAUACUGUUCGCUCGGCCUGCAGCCUACCCACCACACCAGCAGCAAACAUCACCAGAUCAGCCAAUCCAGAGCGACUUGUCCAUUUCUGUGUCUGUUCCCCCCACCUCCACUCUGUUGAAUUGAUGCACCAACAGACAGACACCACAAUCCAGUCCACAGUUGCAACAUCAUCAGCAUCUACAACACGAGACACAUGCACAGUAGCUCGACAGCGACGCGCUCCCAGCUCGCUCUCCUGGAAAUGCCCGAGAGAAGGGCGUUAGAUGAUAGCAUCCCUUACAUAUCGAUACGGAUAAAGCUUAGACCUAAGACUUGAACUCAAACAUAUCAGAUUUUGUGACGCAGAAUCAGAAGCAGAAGAAUUGUUACGUUUAAGCAGCGACAGAACAUUAUUGUUACUAUUACAUUUGCAUACGAGCAUUACAUGUUAUUUCGUAUUGUGUACAUACUUACUCGUAUCUAUGAUAUUCCCAUAUGUGCACAGGUGCACUGGCACCUAUAUAUGUAUUAAUUAUGCGUAGUUUAUCGUCGUUUUGUCGUCGGUGUUGUGAGAUACAAUCAUUAUAAGCAAGUUUUCUUCGUUUCCUGACCUGUUCCCUUCCUGCACCCGCCCCAGCCACCAAAGCAGCUUACAAGCCAUCUAACCUAGUCGAAAUUGUCAAAUCUAUCUAUUUAUAAAGAUAUAUAUAAUUAUAUACAUCGCAACCAAAUGCGGUUCCACUUUGGGCGCCGGUCAGGAAAAUAUGCAAAAAGGCAAGGCGAUCAGGCGAAAGGAAUAGAUAAAAACAAAUCAUUUGCAUCAAUCACCAAGAACUGAUUAUGGAAUAAGUAGUUUGUACUCUUUAUUUGUGAGAAACAUGGGGCAAGUACUGCAAAUUAUAACUGCAGUCGACACUCAACCCACUUCCAACUUCCAAAUCCCUACGUCCCCCAUCCUGUGUGCCCCCCAUAUGAUCCCUAUAUGCAUAUCGUUGUAUUGUUAUUAUCGUGACAUAUCAAGAGCUCCAAGUGCACGCACUGGAUGACUCGACACGCACCUAAAAUAUAGGCAUUUUAUAGAAUUUACUUACAAUUUUAAAACAUAUGAAAAGUUGAUAUUUACGCGAACGCAAUGGAACCGAACACACAAAGAACAUUAACAAAGUGUAUGCAAAGUGGAAUUUUUGAAAUGUUUUUAUACAUAUACCUACUUUUAGAUACACAUACAGACAUGCAUAUGAAUUCUGUCUAUUCGAACUAAGUUGUAAUCUCCAUUAGAAAUUAACAUUACCAUUAACAUUGACACUGACACUCACACUGAUAUUUUCUGGUUUCCGCCGGGUUAGCCAGCAGUUGGACCCGUACCAUACCCACUCCGCAUCGGCCAGUCCGCGGCUUCGGUCAGUAGCCACUCUCUGGUGGAUGGCGGGGAAGUGGUGCUCCAGCGGCUCGCCAACCCGACAGGCUAUCCAGACAGAACGAGAACUCUGUCGAAAGGGAUCAGAAAUAUUUUCAAGAGAAUGCGCUAUACCACCAAAUCGGGUCAGUAUUUUUGGCAACAGCUGUUCUCUUCAAAAUAUUGUAGAACCCCAGCAGAGAGUGGGUAACGAAAGAUGCUUUCCAUAGGAGGAGCUAUGUCUUCUCAGCCGAAAUAAUAAAGAAUCCAUGAUGGUUACAAAUGAAA